GACGAACGCUGGCGGCGUGCUUAGCACAUGCAAGUCGAACGGUGAAGCGCCUUCCUUUUUGGUGGGUGUGGAUGAGUGGCGAACGGGUGAGUAACACGUGAGUAACCUGCCCCCUUCUUCUGGAUAACCGCAUGAAAGUGUGGCUAAUACGGGAUAUUCUGGGUCUGUCGCAUGAUGGGUCUGGGAAAGAUAUUGUUUCGGUGGGGGAUGGGCUCGCGGCCUAUCAGCUUGUUGGUGGGGUGAUGGCCUACCAAGGCGGUGACGGGUAGCCGGCCUGAGAGGGUGGACGGUCACACUGGGACUGAGACACGGCCCAGACUCCUACGGGAGGCAGCAGGGGGGAAUAUUGCACAAUGGGCGCAAGCCUGAUGCAGCGACGCCGCGUGAGGGAUGGAGGCCUUCGGGUUGUGAACCUCUUUCGCCAGUGAAGCAGGCCUGCCUCGUUUGUGGGUGGGUUGACGGUAGCUGGAUAAGAAGCGCCGGCUAACUACGUG
rnacentral:rRNA from 1 species